rnacentral:rRNA from 1 species
GAUGAACGCUGGCGGCGUGCCUAAUACAUGCAAGUCGAGCGAAUGGAUUAAGAGCUUGCUCUUAUGAAGUUAGCGGCGGACGGGUGAGUAACACGUGGGUAACCUGCCCAUAAGACUGGGAUAACUCCGGGAAACCGGGGCAAAUACAGGAUAACAUUUUGAACAGCAUGGUUCGAAAUUGAAAAGAGGUUUCGCAUGUCACUUAUGGAUGGACCCGCGUCGCAUUAGCUAGUUGGUGAGGUAACGGCUCACCAAGGCAACGAUGCGUAGCCGACCUGAGAGGGUGAUCGGCCACACUGGGACUGAGACACGGCGCAGACUCCUACGGGAGGCAGCAGUAGGGAAUCUUCCGCAAUGGACGAAAGUCUGACGGAGCAACGCCGCGUGAGUGAUGAAGGCUUUCGGGUCGUAAAUCUCUGUUGUUAGGGAAGAACAAGUGCUAGUUGAAUAAGCUGGCACCUUGACGGUACCUAACCAGAAAGCCACGGCUAACUACGUGCCAGCCGCCGCGGUAA